rnacentral:rRNA from 1 species
GACGAACGCUGGCGGCGUGCCUAAUACAUGCAAGUUGAGCGCUGAAGGUUGGUACUUGUACCAACUGGAUGAGCAGCGAACGGGUGAGUAACGCGUGGGGAAUCUGCCUUUGAGCGGGGGACAACAUUUGGAAACGAAUGCUAAUACCGCAUAAAAACUUUAAACACAAGUUUUAAGUUUGAAAGAUGCAAUUGCAUCACUCAAAGAUGAUCCCGCGUUGUAUUAGCUAGUUGGUGAGGUAAAGGCUCACCAAGGCGAUGUUACAUAGCCGACCUGAGAGGGUGAUCGGCCACAUUGGGACUGAGACACGGCCCAAACUCCUACGGGAGGCAGCAGUAGGGAAUCUUCGGCAAUGGACGAAAGUCUGACCGAGCAACGCCGCGUGAGUGAAGAAGGUUUUCGGAUCGUAAAACUCUGUUGGUAGAGAAGAACGUUGGUGAGAGUGGAAAGCUCAUCAAGUGACGGUAACUACCCAGAAAGGGACGGCUAACUACGUG